ensembl:snoRNA SNORD72 small nucleolar RNA, C/D box 72
AGCUUAUCUGUGAUGUUCUUAAAACCAAAGUCUGAACAUCUGAUUUCCUAAGUGAUUUCAUUUUGUAACUGAGAUAAGCU